rnacentral:rRNA from 1 species
AGUGAACACUGGCGGUAGGCCUAACACAUGCAAGUCGAACGAGUGGCGGACGGGUGAGGAAUACAUCGGAAUCUACUCUGACGUGGGGGAUAACGUAGGGAAACUUACGCUAAUACCGCAUACGAUUGAAUGAGCCGAUGUCGGAUUAGCUAGUUGGCGGGGUAAAGGCCCACUACGGCGACGAGCCGGAGCUGGUCUGCGAGGAGGAUACGACAAACUGGAACUGAGACACGGUCCCGCCUCCGACGGGAGGCAGCAGUGGGGAAUAUGGUACAAUGGGCGAAAUCCGUAUCCCGCCAUACCGCGGGGGGGAAGAAGGCCUUCGGGUUGUAAAGCCCUUUGGUUGUGAAAGCGGUACCCAAAGAAUAAGCACCGGUUAACUUCGUGCCAGCGGCCGCGGAAAUAC